rnacentral:rRNA from 1 species
AACGAACGCUGGCGGCGUGCUUAACACAUGCAAGUCGAACGCGAAAGGGACUUCGGUCCUGAGUAAAGUGGCGAACGGGUGAGUAACGCGUGGGUAACCUGCCCCUGAAUCUGGAAUAACUUCGCGAAAGCGAGGCUAAUACCGGAUAUUGUCCCAGGGACCGUGGUCCUUGUGAUGAAAGGUGACCUCUUCAAGAAAGUUGUCGUUCAGGGAGGGGCCCGCGUACCAUUAGCUAGUUGGUAGGGUAAUGGCCUACCAAGGCGAUGAUGGUUAGCUGGUCUGAGAGGAUGACCAGCCACACUGGCACUGAAACACGGGCCAGACUCCUACGGGAGGCAG